GAGGUACUAGUAAAAUAUUACAUAACUUUGUCAAAGUUAAGUUACAGGCGAAAACCCUGUGUACCUUU
rnacentral:tRNA from 1 species